UACGUAGGGAGCGAGCGUUGUCCGGAUUUAUUGGGCGUAAAGCGCGUGUAGGCGGUUCGGUAAGUCCGCUGUGAAAGUCGGGGGCUCAACCCUCGGAUGCCGGUGGAUACUGUCGGGCUUGAGUACGGAAGAGGCGAGUGGAAUUCCUGGUGUAGCGGUGAAAUGCGCAGAUAUCAGGAGGAACACCAAUUGCGAAGGCAGCUCGCUGGGACGUUACUGACGUUGAGACGCGAAAGCGUGGGGAGCAAACAGG
rnacentral:rRNA from 1 species